rnacentral:rRNA from 1 species
CCUACGGGAGGCAGCAGUGAGGAAUAUUGGUCAAUGGACGAGAGUCUGAACCAGCCAAGUAGCGUGAAGGAUGACUGCCCUAUGGGUUGUAAACUUCUUUUAUAUGGGAAUAAAAUGUUCCACGUGUGGGGUUUUGUAUGUACCAUAUGAAUAAGGAUCGGCUAACUCCGUGCCAGCAGCCGCGGUAAUACGGAGGGUCCGAGCGUUAUCCGGAUUUAUUGGGUUUAAAGGGGGCGUAGGUGGAUUGUUAAGUCAGGUGUGAAAGUUUGCGGCUCAACCGUAAAAUUGCAGUUGAAACUGGCAGUAUUGAGUACAGUAGAGGUAGGCGGAAUUCGUGGUGUAGCGGUGAAAUGCUUAGAUAUCACGAAGAACUCCGAUUGCGAAGGCAGCUCACUGGACUGCAACUGACACUGAGGCACGAAAGUGUGGGUAUCAAACAGGAUUAGAUACCCCUGUAGUC